UACAGAGGGAGCUAGCGUUGUUCGGAAUUACUGGGCGUAAAGCGCACGUAGGCGGCUUUGUAAGUUAGAGGUGAAAGCCCGGAGCUCAACUCCGGAAUUGCCUUUAAGACUGCAUCGCUUGAAUCCGGGAGAGGUGAGUGGAAUUCCGAGUGUAGAGGUGAAAUUCGUAGAUAUUCGGAAGAACACCAGUGGCGAAGGCGGCUCACUGGACCGGUAUUGACGCUGAGGUGCGAAAGCGUGGGGAGCAAACAGG
rnacentral:rRNA from 1 species